CGAACGGGUGAGUAACGCGUGAGGAACCUGCCUCAAAGAGGGGGACAACAGUUGGAAACGACUGCUAAUACCGCAUAAGCCCACGGCUCGGCAUCGAGCAGAGGGAAAAGGAGUAAUCCGCUUUGAGAUGGCCUCGCGUCCGAUUAGCUAGUUGGUGAGGUAACGGCCCACCAAGGCGACGAUCGGUAGCCGGACUGAGAGGUUGAACGGCCACAUUGGGACUGAGACACGGCCCAG
rnacentral:rRNA from 1 species